rnacentral:misc_RNA from 1 species
CUUGAGAGAAGAAUUGAGAUACUCUGAUUCGUUUCGUCCAGAGAAAAGUUUUUCUAAUUCUCCCAGCUAUAGAUGGCAGGUGAAAUGGCAGUCGCCUGGUGUCGGUUCUACCUGAAAACAGGAGGAUGAAGUCCCGCGAAGAGGAGUUGAAUCGAGUUGGUGGAACGAUACGGGACGCUCUAUAUUCAUUAUUAAGUUGGCAACGGAGUCUGUAGUCUGGGUGCUGGUGCCGUCUUCUUGCACAUUUUAUCAGCUUCGAUCGAGCGAUGCAUUCACGAACGCACUCUCAGGGGAUCUGACGCUCCGAAACAUCAACGUCGCAAGGACCCGCCAAAAAAGACAAGUGCCAGAAGAAUGACGUUCCGCUCGCUGGCAAACAUCUCCUUGACUUCUGACCAAAAAGUGUUUAUCUCUGCGAGUAUCUCGAACAAAAAUGAAUCAUGUUGCAUAAUUAUUGACCUUUGCAUGAAUAUUCAUAUCUACAAAACUUGUAUUUAGAAAAAUUACUUAAGUACUACUGUAAUAAUAAAAUUAACCGAGAUUGUAGGGAAAAUAUUAGGACAUUAUGAAUGUAGUAGAUUAUGAUAAAAUGAGGCGAUAGUAGAAUGUAUUUCACCUAUGUAACUUACGAAUAAACAUACAGCUGAACGUUGUUGAUAGACUCGAUUUUUACAAAUGAAACCCAUUCCAUCGUUAUUCAUCAAGAUCAACAUCCAAAAUGAGCAAAAUAUUACAACG